rnacentral:rRNA from 1 species
GAACGGUAGAGGGGGCAACCCCUUGAGAGUGGCGAACGGGUGAGUAAUAUAUCGGAACGUGCCCAGUCGUGGGGGAUAACGUAGCGAAAGUUACGCUAAUACCGCAUACGAUCUAAGGAUGAAAGCGGGGGAUCGCAAGACCUCGCGCGAUUGGAGCGGCCGAUAUCAGAUUAGGUAGUUGGUGGGGUAAAGGCUCACCAAGCCAACGAUCUGUAGCUGGUCUGAGAGGACGACCAGCCACACUGGAACUGAGACACGGUCCAGACUCCUACGGGAGGCAGCAGUGGGGAAUUUUGGACAAUGGACGCAAGUCUGAUCCAGCCAUUCCGCGUGCAGGAUGAAGGCCCUCGGGUUGUAAACUGCUUUUGUACGGAACGAAAAGGUUUCUAUUAAUACUAGGAACUCAUGACGGUACCGUAAGAAUAAGCACCGGCUAACUACGUGCCAG